UCACAGCUGAGGAAGCACAGAGCGCUGGUGACUGACACCGAAUAGAAGAUCUUACCUAUUUUUUGGCUCCUCUGUUUCCACAUAAGCCACUUUUGAGGAAUGUUCUCCUAAACACAUUUAAAUCAGAAAGGGUCCAGAACACCAGCUCCAUAGCUGACUGCAAUGUGGCCAUCUGGCCUUUUCUCCAGUGCUUAUCAAAGUCAUCUAAAACCACCACCACCCGCUCUCCAGGCCAGACACUUUGCUACACAGUGAGCAGCAUGAGAACAGAAAAAGUGCAUGAUUGAAACUUCACACUUUAUGCCUGGUUUGGAUGGGGUAUAUCAGUAUCGUACCUUACUCUCCAGCAUGGACGCCCACUCCAGUAUGAAGGCCC